rnacentral:rRNA from 1 species
UGGGGAAUUUUGGACAAUGGGCGAAAGCCUGAUCCAGCAAUGCCGCGUGUGUGAAGAAGGCCUUCGGGUUGUAAAGCACUUUUGUCCGGAAAGAAAUCCUUGGCUCUAAUACAGUCGGGGGAUGACGGUACCGGAAGAAUAAGCACCGGCUAACUACGUGCCAGCAGCCGCGGUAAUACGUAGGGUGCAAGCGUUAAUCGGAAUUACUGGGCGUAAAGCGUGCGCAGGCGGUUUGCUAAGACCGAUGUGAAAUCCCCGGGCUCAACCUGGGAACUGCAUUGGUGACUGGCAGGCUAGAGUAUGGCAGAGGGGGGUAGAAUUCCACGUGUAGCAGUGAAAUGCGUAGAGAUGUGGAGGAAUACCGAUGGCGAAGGCAGCCCCUGGGCCAAUACUGACGCUCAUGCACGAAAGCGUGGGGAGCAAACAGGAUUAGAUACCCUGGUAGUCCACGCCCUAAACGAUGUCAACUAGUUGUUGGGGAUUGCAUUUCCUUAGUAACGUAGCUAACGCGUGAAGUUGACCGCCUGGGGAGUACGGUCGCAAGAUUAAAACUCAAAGGAAUUGACGGGGUCAUAGCUGUUUCCU